rnacentral:rRNA from 1 species
UACGAGGGGGGCGAGCGUUGUUCGGAAUUAUUGGGCGUAAAGGGUGCGUAGGCGGGUCUUUAAGUCAGGGGUGAAAUCCUGGAGCUCAACUCCAGAACUGCCUUUGAUACUGAAGAUCUUGAGUUCGGGAGAGGUGAGCGGAACUGCGAGUGUAGAGGUGAAAUUCGUAGAUAUUCGCAAGAACACCAGUGGCGAAGGCGGCUCACUGGCCCGAUACUGACGCUGAGGCACGAAAGCGUGGGGAGCAAACAGG